AUCCCACAGCACACAGUGAGGGAGUGGUGAAGGCAGAAUUUACAGAUCUCAAUGGCGGGAACACCUUCAUGGCCCCUUUAUAGCUGGAUGAUCAUUUCCUGUUCUCUCCACCAUGGCCACCUGGUCCAAGCCACCAUCUUCAUGCACCUGGAUACCUGCCAUAACCUCAGCUGACCUUUCCUGUGUCCAUUCUUGUUCCUUUGGGCCCAGUCUCCUCGCUCAUAGCAGCAGAAUGAGUCUAUUAAAAAGUGAAACAAUU
rnacentral:lncRNA from 1 species